rnacentral:misc_RNA from 1 species
UACGUAGGGGGCGAGCGUUGUCCGGAAUUAUUGGGCGUAAAGAGCUCGUAGGCGGUCCAUUACGUCGGGUGUGAAAUCUCAGGGCUUAACUCUGAAAUCGCAUUUGAUACUGGUGGACUUGAGGCAGGUAGGGGAAGGUGGAAUUCCUGGUGUAGCGGUGAAAUGCGCAGAUAUCAGGAGGAACACCGGUGGCGAAGGCGGCCUUCUGGGCCUGUUCUGACGCUGAGGAGCGAAAGCGUGGGGAGCGAACAGG